UUGUGAAUAUAAGGGUUUGUUUUUCCCUUUUUCAUUAUUAUUUUUAAUUUCUGUUUUUGGUAAAGGUAUAAUCGCAUUGGAUUUUGAAUUUUUUUUUACUAACAUGUGAAUGUGGUAUGUGUACCAUUACUCAUAAAUAAUAUGUUUUGUUAAUGCGAUAAGGUUAUUAUCAAAUAUAAUCACA